GCCGGGCAUGGUAGUGCACACCUGUAAUCCCAGCAACUUGGGGGCUGAGGCAGGAGGAUUGUGUGUUCAAAACCAGCCUCAG
rnacentral:sRNA from 1 species